AUGGCGGAGCUCGCGUCGGGUGCGGUGAGCUCGCUACUGGGCGUCAUCCGCAAUGAGGCGCUGCUGCUGGGCCGCGUCCGGCACGACGUGCAGUUCAUCCGGGAGGAGAUGGAGAGCAUGCAGAGCUUCUUGACACAUUUGUCAAAGAAGGCGCCUGCCGGUGGCGAGCACGACGAGCAGAUCCGCACCUGGAUGAACCAGGUCCGGCUGCUCGCCCAGGACAGCAACAACUGCAUCGAUCUGUAUCUGUACCGCGGCAACCCCGACCUUCAUCUCGCCAGGGGCGGCCUCCGGCGCUACGUCGCGUGGCCCUGGUUCGUGCACAAGAUGAUCGCCCAGCGUCGGGCGGCCACCCAGCUGCGGACGCUCAGGGAACGAGCCCGUGACAUCGGUGAACGGCGAUUGAGGUACAGUAUAUAA
rnacentral:rRNA from 1 species